rnacentral:sRNA from 1 species
GAGAUCAAAGAAUAAAUCCCUGAUGUUGUUUACGUUAUUAUCUUUUCAAUCAGGCUUUUAGUGAAAUGUAAUGCUUUAAAAAACCCGAAAACGCAAUCAAUUCAACAGCUAUACUGGAGAAAAUGAUGAGCAAAAAGAAAGGAUUGACGACCGCA